rnacentral:rRNA from 1 species
GGAAUAUUGCACAAUGGGGGAAACCCUGAUGCAGCCAUGCCGCGUGUGUGAAGAAGGCCUUCGGGUUGUAAAGCACUUUCAGCGAGGAGGAAAGGUUGGCGCCUAAUACGUGUCAAUUGUGACGUUACUCGCAGAAGAAGCACCGGCUAACUCCGUGCCAGCAGCCGCGGUAAUACGGAGGGUGCAAGCGUUAAUCGGAAUUACUGGGCGUAAAGCGCACGCAGGCGGUUGGA